rnacentral:rRNA from 1 species
GACAGAGGGUGCAAACGUUGUUCGGAAUUACUGGGCGUAAAGGGCUCGUAGGCGGCCAACUAAGUCGGACGUGAAAUCCCCAGGCUCAACCUGGGAACUGCGUCUGAUACUGGAUGGCUUGAAUCCGGGAGAGGGAUGCAGAAUUCCAGGUGUAGCGGUGAAAUGCGUAGAUAUCUGGAGGAAUACCGGUGGCGAAGGCGGCAUCCUGGACCGGCAUUGACGCUGAGGAGCGAAAGCAUGGGGAGCGAACAGG